rnacentral:lncRNA from 1 species
GAAGGAUUUGCCCUUGGAGUUCUAGGUCACCAGCUAGGACCUUCCUUUGCACCUGUAGCUUAUCUGUCGAAGAAGCUAGACCUAACCACCCAAGGAUGGGCAUCCUGCAUACGUGCUUUAGCAGCUGCUGAGCUUCUUAUCCGACUCUUAUAAGUUCCAGGGAGCCGAAUCAGAUCCAAACAGGUCAGAUUCACUCCAGGACUAAAAGGCACCAGAGUGGCCCGGACUACAAUGAAACAACAAUCAACUCCAGGACGUGGCAGCACCCCCAACCCCCCAAAGACGGUCAACGCCCCAGGCCAGCAGGAAGCAGCCUUAAGACAUCUUCGCCCCUACUUCCCUAACCUGCCACGCCCAAUUCUCUAACUUUUGCCGGGAUUGUAAGAACAAAACACCUGGAUGACCCUAAC